GAGACAACCCUUUGGAGCAGGACUUGCUUCAGUGGGGCUUUGGUGCUCACUGAGUCUACCCCUUGAGUGCGUCACU
rnacentral:pre_miRNA from 1 species